CCUCGAUUAGCUCAGUGGGUAGUGUAUCCGACUUUAAAUAGGAGGUUCAGGGGUUUAAGUCCCUUAUCGCGAC
rnacentral:tRNA from 1 species